rnacentral:rRNA from 1 species
GACGUUGGGAAGCGAGCGGCGGAUGGGUGAGUAACACGUGGGGAACCUGCCCCUAAGUCUGGGAUACCAUUUGGAAACAGGUGCUAAUACCGGAUAAUAAAGCAGAUCGCAUGAUCAGCUUUUGAAAGGCGGCGUAAGCUGUCGCUAAGGGAUGGCCCCGCGGUGCAUUAGCUAGUUGGUAAGGUAACGGCUUACCAAGGCGACGAUGCAUAGCCGAGUUGAGAGACUGAUCGGCCACAUUGGGACUGAGACACGGCCCAAACUCCUACGGGAGGCAGCAGUAGGGAAUCUUCCACAAUGGACGCAAGUCUGAUGGAGCAACGCCGCGUGAGUGAAGAAGGUUUUCGGAUCGUAAAGCUCUGUUGUUGGUGAAGAAGGAUAGAGGUAGUAACUGGCCUUUAUUUGACGGUAAUCAACCAGAAAGUCACGGCUAACUACGUGCCAGCAGCCGCGGUAAUACGUAGGUGGCAAGCGUUGUCCGGAUUUAUUGGGCGUAAAGCGAGCGCAGGCGGAAAAAUAAGUCUAAUGUGAAAGCCCUCGGCUUAACCGAGGAACUGCAUCGGAAACUGUUUUUCUUGAGUGCAGAAGAGGAGAGUGGAACUCCAUGUGUAGCGGUGGAAUGCGUAGAUAUAUGGAAGAACACCAGUGGCGAAGGCGGCUCUCUGGUCUGCAACUGACGCUGAGGCUCGAAAGCAUGGGUAGCGAACAGGAUUAGAUACCCUGGUAGUCCAUGCCGUAAACGAUGAGUGCUAAGUGUUGGGGAGGUUUCCGCCUCUCAGUGCUGCAGCUAACGCAUUA